GAAGUUACUCGGUACAUCGGUGACAGGUGGUGCAUGGUUGUCGUCAGCUCGUGUCGUGAGAUGUUGGGUUAAUCCGCAACGAGCGCAACCCCUAUUGUUAGUUGCCAUCAUUCAGUUGGGCACUCUAGCGAGACUGCCGGUAAUAAACCGGAGGAAGGUGGGGAUGACGUCAAAUCAUCAUGCCCCUUAUGACCUGGGCUACACACGUGCUACAAUGGUUGGUACAACGAGUUGCGAGUCGGUGACGGCGAGCUAAUCUCUUAAGGCCAAUCUCAGUUCGGAUUGUAGGCUGCAACUCGCCUACAUGAAGUCGGAAUCGCUAGUAAUCGCGGAUCAGCACGCCGCGGUGAAUACGUUCCCGGGCCUU
rnacentral:rRNA from 1 species